rnacentral:rRNA from 1 species
GACGAACGCUGGCGGCGUGCCUAACACAUGCAAGUCGAGCGGUCCUGCAUUCAACAUUGAGUAUUCAGCAGGCGUUGGAGAUGUAACCAGCGUCAAGCAGAAACGACUAUAUAUUAUAAUUUUUUGAAGUUUCUGCUUCACGCCAAAUCAAGUGCCAACACAAAGGGAGCUGAGUAUUGAAUGUUGAAUGCAGGAUAGCGGCGGACGGGUGAGUAACGCGUGGGCAACCUGCCUCAUACAGGGGGAUAACACAGGGAAACUUGUGCUAAUACCGCAUAAUAUCAUUGGGUGGCAUCACCUGAUGAUCAAAGGAGAAAUCCGGUAUGAGAUGGGCCCGCGUCCGAUUAGUUAGUUGGUGAGGUAACGGCUCACCAAGGCGACGAUCGGUAGCCGAACUGAGAGGUUGAUCGGCCACAUUGGGACUGAGACACGGCCCAGACUCCUACGGGAGGCAGCAGUGGGGAAUA